CAGUCGCCGCGGUAACACGUAGGUGGCAAGCGUUGUCCGGAAUUAUUGGGCGUAAAGGGCUCGCAGGCGGUUUCUUAAGUCUGAUGUGAAAGCCCCCGGCUCAACCGGGGAGGGUCAUUGGAAACUGGGAAACUUGAGUGCAGAAGAGGAGAGUGGAAUUCCACGUGUAGCGGUGAAAUGCGUAGAGAUGUGGAGGAACACCAGUGGCGAAGGCGACUCUCUGGUCUGUAACUGACGCUGAGGAGCGAAAGCGUGGGGAGCGAACAGGAUUAGAGACCCCCGUAGUCCCUGUCUCUUAUAC
rnacentral:rRNA from 1 species